CUAACACCUAUAAGCCCCUCUGAAGUUUUACUUUGGAUGCAGACUGUAGACCACAAGCAGUUCCCUGCACUGGAGGACAGGCUCCCUCGUAGGAGAGCAGAUCUGAGCCAACUCUCGCGUCAGACAGGGCCAGGCACAGCUCCAGAGGCCAGAUGGUGGCAGCCAUUCUCUCCCCAGGUUUUUUUCUUCCUGAUGUUGCCUGCCCUAGAGCACAGAUGGGGAAAGCCCUGCAACUGAGAAACCCGGAUUCCGGUCCCAGCCCAGCAUGUGUAGGCAUGUCACACUCUUUAAAAUACGAUCUCAUGAAAGUGAUGGCUUCUAUUAUUUCUAACCAGUAAAAUCUCUCCUAUGCAGGUGAGGAAUGUUCCAGUCCCCACUCCACCACAGUUUGUCUCCAUGUUCCUGGCCACCCAGACACCACCCACCCUUAGCUGAUGGCUCAGAUUAAUUCCAAAUGCCUGGGCAAAUAUUUCAGCCAUGGCCUUGAGUCCUUGAAUCCUGACAUUGCUCAUGAAAUGAACAAGUUCCAGGUGGAGGGGUCUCUUACAACCACGGAGUGUGAAGAAAUCACUUUGCUGAUUUUGGAGCCUUGCAUCAAACAGAAACAAAAAUGUAAAAUAACCUAGAGGCUGCAGAGACCCGGGCGCAUGUCCCUCCAUGCCCUGCAGAGGGCAACCUGCCCUUGUGAUCGGCUCUGGCUGGUUUGGAGUGGUCUCCUUUUCUCCUGGCUUACCCCCAGGGCCUGGUAUGGAAGAGGAAUUGAACCAGCAUAGUCAAUAAAAAUGUGAGUUAAAUGUCAUCUUAGCCACUCACAGGAGGCUUCUGCUUGGCCCUUUCUGGUGGUCCCCAUUCUCAAUUCUCCCAGGUGGCCUGAAUUCUGAUGUCCCGAUGAAAAUCCCUGAACUCAUAGACUGUCCUUAUGGUCCAUUUUCUUUUUGGGAGACACUGAGAACUCGAUUAAUGGGAAACUGAUAACCUUUCAAGAUAGUGCUCUUGUGAAAUAGUUUUGCCUAAAGGCCUAACACAUGUAAGCUCAAGCGUGAUCCAUUUGUCUCUUCUUGUCCUUGACCCAAGAAGAAAAUGCAAAACAGGAAGGCUGGAAAAUAACAGUUGAAACAAAUAUAUGAAUGCAUUUGGAAGCCAGGCCUUUCCCUCCUAGGACUGACGGGGGUCAGACAGAUGUGAGUGGUGGGCACAGGAGGUUAAGGGAGAAAUUCUAUAAAAUGAGACCACUGUGCAGACCCCACAUGCUUUCUUUUCCAAGAAGCAGUUUACCUGCAGCCCCGUCUGGCCUAAGACAGGAUAUGCCGCAUUCCUUUCAAAGUACCUGUUAUCUGCAGGAGAAUUGCAAGCCCGAAAUAAUGUGGAUAUGAGGAACCGAGUUACUCUGAAAGCUCACAUGGACCAGAUUCUAAGCCUGGGAGAUAAGCAUGAUUCCUCCCGACCAUAAAAUCUGUAAGAAUUUAUGGUUAAAAAUCCAAUUAGAACUCGUCAGCAUGGGCCAAGGUGACCUGGAGUAGUGGGGACUUGAAAGUCUGAUGUCAUUCUGCUGUCAGUCAAACGUCAAGAGGUGGAGUUGGGUGGGACUCUCUGAAAACUUCUCUGGGAUCCUCAACCAAACCAGAGUGCAGGAGAGGCAUGGUGUCCCCCUCUUCCUUGAGAGGACCCCCUUCUCCCUUGAGAGUGUCCCCUUUUCCUUCCUAUUGAAGCCAUAUUUAAAGUUAGGUAGUCAGUGUAGUUAGGUAAAUCGGGUCUAAUAUCAAGUAAGAUCCAAAAUGGAGGCCAUGUUGAGAAUGAAUUCCGGGAAAAGCAGAACAACUCUUGGAAUGUUAAUGAAGUCCGGGAAAAGCCCAUCCCAGAGCCCAAUCCAAAGAAGUGUUAAUGAAGAUUACUACUUUGGCCCACCUGUGCCCCACCCCUCAGGCCUUCCCACCUACAUUCCAUCACUGAAAGAACUAUAAAAAGGGGAAACUACCGCACUUCCACGGAUUCCACCUCUUGGGUCCCCUUCUUCCUCUGGAGAAGUCUUUUUUCUGCUGUCUUUUAAUGAACUUCUAAUUUCCACUCUGACCUUGCCUCGGCGUGCUUCUCUGGUGUUAUUCUUCAACACUGGGGAAGCAAGGACUCGUCAGCGGUCGACAGCAGUAACACUAUCUCUUCAGUAAACUCAAGCCUGUUACUCUGAGCGACAUGUCUCAAUUUUUUUUUUUUUACUUAAGGCAAGAAUCAGGGCUUGAAGGGGGGGGGGACUUCAUUCUGCCUCAGUUUCCCAGAAGGCCCCAGCUUUAACAGGACUAGAAUUCCUAGGUGGUACAGUAGGACAGGUGUCUGUAGACAUAGACUUUACCUGAAACCACUUAAUAUGGCUGCAGCUGGUUAGGAGGCUGGAGAAUGGGGGGCUGGGUGUGAGGAGGCCUGUGCUACUGAGGAGCUGGGGUUCUAGCAGAGACUCGGGUGUCUUUCCCUCCAUGACCCCUUCACGUCCCUUUGCUUUUCUACUUAAAUGCAGAUGGAGAUGCCCAGACUGCUCCAGGGGUCCCCGCACCCUCAUCUGCCACCAGCGGGUAGAUUUGCCCCCUGGAUUCCCACGGAGCAGCUCCAACACUUGCCACGGGAAGAUGCAGCUGCCGUCCAACUGAAGCUGCCCCGAUGGGGGACUUGCGUGUUUCCGGGUUCUCUCUGCAGGGUGAGCUCCUUGUCUUCUGUAGUGAGCUGACCUGUGCCCCGAGAAAGGAAUGCCCAAGUCCUAACCCUUGGUCCCUGCCAGGUGCCCUCCCUGGGAAAGAGUCAUUGCAGAUGUCUUUGAGUGAAGAGGUUCAGGUAGGGGCUGAAUCCCAACCACUGAUGUCUUUAUGGAGGAAACGAGAGGCUGGAGCCACAGAGGAGACGGAGUCAAAGGUCCAGAGACGCAUGUGACGGAGGUGUCCACACGCUGAGAGAGGGAUGCCCAGGAUGCUGAUGCCCCCAGGACCCGGGAGGAGGCAUGGCCGGGUGGAGCCUCCCUCCGAGCCUCAGAAGGAAACAGCCCCUUCCGGCUCCUUGAUUUGGACUUGCGGCCUCCAGUACCUGGAAAGACCCUGUUGUGGUCAUUCAUUCUGGUAGCCCUACCGCUGGUGACACUCUCCACGGCCUUAGAGUUCUGUCCAGGGCAUUCGGUAGCAGUCUCCUGUAAGGGUAAAAGAAACUGAAGUUAAAGUGUUAAAAGACCGGGCAUUGUAAAGUUUCUAAGCUGCAAGGCCUGAGUUAAAAAGUAAAGGACCAGGUAUUGUUAAGUUCCUAUGCUACACGCAAAACCUGAAAUUCCUGUAGCUGUUAGGACAAUUCACCAGAACUGCCCAGUAAAUAUUCCCCCUGACCGCCUGGUUGUUUAAUAACCUAGGACUCUGUGUGACCUUGCACGUAGACAUCGCAGGGCCUGAACCAAUCAGUUUGAAUGUACCUCCCUCCUUAGAACUGACCUAUCACCCCCGCCCGAACUGUUCCCGCCAAUGAAUGAACUAAUCAUGUUUUAGAAUUGUUGUUUGAUUUUCCCGUGGUGUAUGAUGAUUUGUUAAAGGAGACUGUGAUGUAUGUAAAGUCCCCGCCCUCCCCAAAAAGUGUACUUAAGCAGUGCCCAGCCCCUGCUCGGGGCUCUGGGCUGCUCUCCCUUCUUGAGUGAGCACGGAGCCCCAGCGUGCUGGAAUGGAUCCCCAAUAAAUCCCCUUCUGCAAUUGCAUGAGUCA
rnacentral:lncRNA from 1 species